rnacentral:rRNA from 1 species
AUUGAACGCUGGCGGCAGGCCUAACACAUGCAAGUCGAGCGGAUGAAGGGAGCUUGCUCCUGGAUUCAGCGGCGGACGGGUGAGUAAUGCCUAGGAAUCUGCCUGGUAGUGGGGGAUAACGUCCGGAAACGGGCGCUAAUACCGCAUACGUCCUGAGGGAGAAAGUGGGGGAUCUUCUGACCUCACGCUAUCAGAUGAGCCUAGGUCGGAUUAGCUAGUUGGUGGGGUAAAGGCCUACCAAGGCGACGAUCCGUAACUGGUCUGAGAGGAUGAUCAGUCACACUGGAAAUGAGACACGGUCCAGACUCCUACGGGAGGCAGCAGUGGGGAAUAUUGGACAAUGGGCGAAAGCCUAAUCCAGCCAUGCCGCGUGUGUGAAGAAGGUCUUCGGAUUGUAAAGCACUUUAAGUUGGGAGGAAGGGAAGUAAGUUAAUACCUUGCUGUUUUGACGUUACAAACAGAAUAAGCACCGGCUAACUUCGUG